AUGGUGGGCUUGGCCAAGAUCGCCAUGGAAUGUCUCCAAGAUCCACUGAGCUGGCUGUUCGUUGCCUCGGUGGUCAUCGUGCUGCUGCAGCGGCGGCAGCGAGGCAAGGCGCCGCCGCUGCCUCCGGGGCCAUAUGCGCUGCCGGUCGUCGGCAACAUGUUAAUGAUGGACCAGCUGACCCACCGGGGCCUCCUGGAGCUGGCGAAGCGGUACGGCGGCCUGCUCCACCUCCGCCUCGGCAAGCUCCACGCCAUCGCCGUGUCGACGCCGGAGUACGCUCAGGAGGUGCUCCAGGCGCAGGAUGGCGCCUUCUCGAACCGGCCGGCGACCAUCGCAAGCACCUACCUCACCUACAACCGUGCCGACAUGGCGUUCGCGCACCGUGGGCCCUUCUGGCGCCAGAUGCGCAAGCUGUGCGUGACGAAGCUCUUCAGCCGGCGCCGCGCGGGGACGUGGCUUGCCGUGCGCGACGAGUCCGCAGCCCUCGUCCGCGCCGUGGCCCGGCGGAGCGGCGAGUCCGUGAACCUCGGCGAGCUCAUCCUUAACCUCACCAAGAACGUCACCUUCCGCGCCGCGUUCGGCACUGCCGGAGACGGCGACGGCGGGAAGCAGGACGAGUUCAUCGCCAUCAUCAAGGAGUUCUCCCAGCUCUUCGGCGCAUUCAGCAUCGGCGACUUUAUCCCGUGGCUCCGCUGGGCGGACACGCAGGGCAUCAACGUGCGCCUCCGCGCUGCACGCGCCGCCCUCGACGAGUUCAUUGACAAGAUCAUCGACGAGCACAUGAAGAGGGGCAAGCACCCCGACGACGUCGACGCCGACAUGGUGGACGGCAUGCUCGCUUUCCUCCCUGAGGCAAAACCGAAGAUGGCCGUUGGCGACGGCAGGGACGACCUGCACACCACGCUCCGCCUCACCCGUGACAAUAUCAAGGCCAUCAUCAUGGAUGUGAUGUUUGGCGGGACGGAGACAGUGGCGACGGCGGUCGAGUGGGCAAUGGCGGAGAUGAUGCACAACCCCAACGACCUUCUGCGGCUGCAAAAGGAGAUCACCAACAUAGUGGGUCUUGACCGGAACGUGGAUGAUUCAGACCUCGACAAGCUCCCCUUCCUCAAGUGCAUCGUCAAGGAGACACUCCGACUGCACCCGCCAUUCCCGCUGCUCCACCACGAGACCGCCGAGGACUGUGUUGUUGGUGGCUACUCCGUGCCCCAAGGCUCCCGUGUCAUGAUCAACGUCUUCGCCAUUGGCCGCGAUGCCAAGGCAUGGAAGGACGCCGACACAUUCCGACCAUCACGGUUUAUGCCGGGUGAAGGGGAGGCCACCGGGGUCGACUUCAAGGGUGGGUGCUUCGCAUUCCUGCCGUUUGGAUCUGGCCGCCGCUCGUGUCCUGGAAUGGCGUUGGGCCUAUACUCGCUUGAGCUCAUCGUCGCGCAGCUCACCCAUGGUUUCAGCUGGGCAUUGCCUGAUGGCAUGAAGCCAUCAGAUCUCGACAUGGACGACAUCUUCGGCUUCACUGCACCACGUGCCACCAGGCUGUGCGUUGUGCCCACCCCACGACUUGUCUGUCGUUUCAUCACUGAUCUGGACUCCACACGUCAGACGACGUCGUUCGUCAGUGUAGGUGGUAUUUGA
rnacentral:rRNA from 1 species